CACAGUCUUAGAGUAACUAAAAAUUCAAACAGUAGGUAAUCUGGUUUAACGUCCCCAUUGCUAGCAAUAUAACCUAUAUUCACGUCGACCAUCACUUGGUUCCCCCUGGAAACCAUCGCGAUUAAUUCCUAAUAAAUUCCUCGCAAUAGGCUUACUAAUCGGGCUUCAUCCUCACCUAUCACCCUUUACUGGUACCCCUAUAGCACAGGCGGACUUACCAUUCCAUUUUCACGAUGUUAAAAAGUAUGCUGCGUUAGGUGAUAUUUUUGUCCGAAGCUUGGUAACAGGGUUGUAACAAGUCUAUGGCAUGGUGGAACUAUGGCCCUAUAGUUGUGGCCAUAGUGAUGUUUUUACUGAUGGGAACGUACUUCGAAAGGAGAAUUGAAGCCACUAUUAGACGCCACAUCGAUCGACGGCGAACCUCUCUAACAUCUGAAGAGCCUUCCACUCCCACUACAAGAAACCUUCAAGCUGAUAAUGAAAGAGUCCAUAGAAUAAUAUAGAAUCGUAAAAAUCAAAACACGGCCAUGUUUAAUUUAUUGUAACCGAUAUGACAAUUUCGUUCGUCAUAAAUAUUAGAAUAUUAUA